rnacentral:rRNA from 1 species
UACAGAGGGUGCAAACGUUGCUCGGAAUCGAUUGGCGUAAAGACGCGUGUAGGCUGCUCAGAAAGUCGGAAUGUGAAGCCCUGGGCUUAACCUAGGAAGUGCAUUCGAAACUUCGUGAGCUGGAGUUUCGUGGAGGAGGAAGGCGGAAAUUUCUCGGUGUAGAGGUGAAAUUCGUAGAUAUCGAGAGGAACACCGUGGCGAAGGCGGCCUUCUGGACAGUGACUGACGCUGAGACGACGAAAGCGUGGGGGAGCGAACGGG